rnacentral:rRNA from 1 species
GACGAACGCUGGCGGCGUGCCUAAUACAUGCAAGUAGAACGCUGAAGGAGGAGCUUGCUUCUCUGGAUGAGUUGCGAACGGGUGAGUAACGCGUAGGUAACCUGCCUGGUAGCGGGGGAUAACUAUUGGAAACGAUAGCUAAUACCGCAUAAUAGUAGAUGUUGCAUGACAUUUGCUUAAAAGGUGCAAUUGCAUCACUACCAGAUGGACCUGCGUUGUAUUAGCUAGUUGGUGAGGUAACGGCUCACCAAGGCAACGAUACAUAGCCGACCUGAGAGGGUGAUCGGCCAAACUGGGACUGAGACACGGCCCAGACUCCUACGGGAGGCAGCAGUAGGGAAUCUUCGGCAAUGGCCGGAAGUCUGACCGAGCAACGCCGCGUGAGUGAAGAAGGUUUUCGGAUCGUAAAGCUCUGUUGUAAGAGAAGAACGAGUGUGAGAGUGGAAAGUUCACACUGUGACGGUAGCUUACCAGAAAGGGACGGCUAACUACGUG